rnacentral:rRNA from 1 species
UACGAACUGUGCGAACGUUAUUCGGAAUCACUGGGCUUACAGGGUGCGUAGGCGGCUUGUUAAGUAGGGUGUGAAAGCCCCCGGCUCAACCGGGGAAUUGCGCCCUAAACUGGCGAGCUGGAGUGAGAUAGGGGUGUGUGGAACUUCCGGUGGAGCGGUGAAAUGUGUUGAUAUCGGAAGGAACGCCGGUAGCGAAAGCGACACACUGGGUCUUUACUGACGCUGAGGCACGAAAGCCAGGGGAGCGAACGGG